rnacentral:misc_RNA from 1 species
GAAAGCUUCUCAGCCACUCCAGAAAAUGGAUGUGGCUUGGGAGAUUGUGGAGGGACUGUGCAGGCCCCUGUUUGUCUGCUCCUCUGAAACAUAUUAGUGGCGUCUGGUUCAGACCCACCAAUGGGUGUGAUAAACUAUCAGUGCCCUUGGGUGGUGUGCUGCGUGUGGCUGCUUUUGAUCGAUUGUGACCA